rnacentral:rRNA from 1 species
CAGUCGCACGGGAAUACGGAGGGUGCAAGCGUUAAUCGGAAUUACUGGGCGUAAAGCGCACGUAGGCGGCUUGGUAAGUUAGAGGUGAAAGCCCGGAGCUCAACUCCGGAAUUGCCUUUAAGACUGCCGAGCUAGUAGGUGAGAGAGGUAAGUGGAAUUCCGAGUGUAGAGGUGAAAUUCGUAGAUACUCGGAAGAACACCAGUGGCGAAGGCGGCUUACUGGCUCAUUCUAGACGCUGAGGUGCGAAAGCGUGGGGAGCAAACAGGAUUAGAGACCCCUGUAGUCCCUGUCUCUUAUACA